ACGAACGCUGGCGGUGUGCUUCACACAUGCAAGUCGAACGGAGUAGCAAUACUCAGUGGCGGACGGGUGAGUAACACGUGGGAAUCUACCAUUAGAUGGGGAAUAACAGGCCGAAAGGACUGCUAAUGCCGCAUAUGUAUGUGCCUCGACAGGGGCAUAUAUGAAAGGAGUAAUCCGUCUGAUGAUGAGCCCGCGUCCGAUUAGCUAGUUGGUAGGGUAAAAGCCUACCAAGGCGACGAUCGGUAGGUGGUCUGAGAGGAUGAUCACCCACAAUGGGACUGAGACACGGCCCAUACUCCUACGGGAGGCAGCAGUGGGGAAUUUUGUGCAAUGGGGGAAACCCUGACACAGCGACACCGCGUGAGCGAAGAAGCCCUUUGGGGUGUAAAGCUCUGUCAAGUGGGAAGAAAUGCAUAUAGGGUAAUAUGUUAUAUGUUUGACGGUACUACUAGAGGAAGCACCGGCUAACUCCGU
rnacentral:rRNA from 1 species